AUUGGACGCUGGCGGCAUGCUUUACACAUGCAAGUCGAACGGUAACAGGUUAAGCUGACGAGUGGCGAACGGGUGAGUAAUGCAUCGGAACGUGCCCGGUCGUGGGGGAUAACGCAGCGAAAGCUGCGCUAAUACCGCAUACGAUCUGAGGAUGAAAGCGGGGGACCGUAAGGCCUCGCGCGAUCGGAGCGGCCGAUGUCAGAUUAGGUAGUUGGUGGGGUAAAGGCUCACCAAGCCAACGAUCUGUAGCUGGUCUGAGAGGACGACCAGCCACACUGGGACGGAGACACGGCCCAGACUCCGACGGGAGGCAGCAGUGGGGAAUUUUGGACAAUGGGCGAAAGCCUGAUCCAGCAAUGCCGCGUGCAGGAAGAAGGCCUUCGGGUUGUAAACUGCUUUUGUACGGAGCGAAAAGGUCUCCUCUAAUACAGGGGGCUCAUGACGGUACCGUAAGAAUAAGCACCGGCUAACUACGUGCCAGCCGCCGCGGUAA
rnacentral:rRNA from 1 species